GCCACUCCUAGCUAUGUAACCAAAUGAAAAGUACACAUGUGCUCCGAGAGACACACACGGGAAUAUUCAGAACCUUUUCUGUAAUAGCUAUAAACUGAAAGCAGCACAUGUCCAACAGGAAAAUGAAUAAACAAAUACAGCAUAUUCAUACAAUAGAAUCCUAUACAGAGCAACUAAAAUAACAGCUAGAGGCAACAACACGGAUGGAUCUUACAAGCCUGAUGUGGAACAAGAGAAGCCUGUCCAGAGACUAAGUGAAUGGAUUUAUGUGGUAUGCAAAAACAGGCAAAACCAAAUCAUAGUGUUUUGGGAGGUAUGCUUACAUAGUAAAGCUCUGAAGGAAAACAAAGAAAAGGCGACUAAAGAGAAUGACAACUUACACAAUGCAGAAUCCUGGAUUGGAUCCUAGAUCCAAUCAACGUGUAGGGAUGCUGAUCCCACUCCAAGUCUAGAACAUCAUUCACAUCUUGGACAGCAAAUUUCACAUACUGAUGAAGGCGCCGAAUUUCCUAUAAGAAAAAAAUUAAAAGUCAUUCUGCAAAAUCUACAAGUGGAUAGCGCACCACCACUACCUGGGCCCACUGUGUCCCUGCAAGAAAGACAACGUGAAAGAAGGUUCUUGUAUGCAAAGGUGCUUUGCUCCUUCUGACAGUUUUUCAAAGUCAAACAGAAAGUACUUCUGGUGAAUCACAAUUUAGUGUCAUCUGCAUGUUUUUCUUUCAUAACUGAGGAUGGAUUAUCAUUAAAUUGUAUAGAAGUUGUUUCAAGCAACAGGAAUAAAACAAAGAUGACAAAACAGGACAAGGCAGAAAAAGCCGCCUACACAUCAGGCAUACUCCAGUUGGAGGUUAACUGCAUGGUAUGUUUCCACAGACAGGGGUUGG
rnacentral:lncRNA from 10 species